UGGAUCAUCUCGUUCUCUCAGUUGUACACCCGAUCGAGAUGGUCAAUCCCGACCAAACCGAAUCCACCCUCUUGGACUUAGCUGAACGAUAGCACUCGUUGGAUCGGGAGAUCACGGGAGGCGCGCGGUGUGUGGGGGGCAGCGCACUAAUCUUGAUCGGGCGGUCGGGCCGAGCCAGGGGAAGCUUUCUUCGCCGGGACGCGCGCCGGCCAGCGAGGGGUGUGGGAAUUGAAGGGAUGGACCGGGCGGCGCUGACUGCUGGGCCGGGGUUGGACAUACCAAUAAUUUACGACGGCGACUGCUACGAGCUCGUCAAGGACAUCAGCUCCGGCAACUUCGGCGUCGCGAGCCUCAUGCGCAACCGCUCCGACGGGCAGCUCGUCGCGGUCAAGUACAUCGAGCGAGGAUAGAAGUUGUAGGUGAUGUACCCAUCGACGGCGAGGCUUCGUCAAUCUUUCAAGACCUGCCGGCUCGGUCUUUCGGAGGUGCUCGUGAGCGUAGGGUGUACCUAUGUGUGUUCAUAGGAGUGAGUGUACGCGCGUGUUGUGAGCGUCUGCGUUCGCAAUAUAUAUCCGUACAAACAUUACAGUAAAUUUAAAAGUUUUCUUUAAGGCAUAGGCAUACACUUAUCUUGAGAAACUUCAAUGUUUAUUCUGUGGAGUAGUUUACUGCUACACUGGUCUUAGUUUCGAGGACCGUAUAGGCAGAGCAAUCAUGUUUUGCUACUGGAUGUAAAUAAAAUUGAACUUCUGCUACAGGAUGUAAUAAGUUAGAAAAUGAGUUUCAAUA